CCUACGGGAGGCAGCAGUGGGGGAUAUUGGUCAAUGGGCGCAAGCCUGAUGCAGCGACGUCGCGUGAGCGAAGAAGUAUCUCUGUAUUUAAAGCCCUUUCAGCAGGGGAGAAAAUGACGGUACCUGUCUAAGAAGCUCCGGCUAAAUACGUGCCAGCAGCCGUGAUUAUACGUAUGGAGCAAGCGUUAUCCGGAUUUACUGGGUGUAAAGGGAGCGUAGGCGGCACUGUAAGUCUGCUGUGAAAAUUUGGGGCUCAACCCCAAACGUGCAGGGGAAACUGCAGGGCUUGAGUGCCGGAGAGGCAGGCGGAAUUCGUAGUGUAGCGGUGAAAUGCGUAGAUAUCAGGAAGAACGCCAGUGGCGAAGGCGGCCUGCUGGAGCGUAACUGACGCUGAGGCUCGAAAGCGUGGGGAGCAAACAGGAUUAGAUACCCGGGUAGUC
rnacentral:rRNA from 1 species